UGGGGAAUAUUGCACAAUGGAGGGAACUCUGAUGCAGCGACGCCGCGUGAGUGAUGAAGGAAUUCGUUUCGUAAAACUCUGUUCUAUGGGAAGAAAAGGACUGUACCAUAGGAGAAAGCUCCGGCUAAAUACGUGCCAGCAGCCGCGGUAAUACGUAUGGAGCGAGCGUUGUCCGGAAUUAUUGGGCGUAAAGGGUGCGCAGGCGGCUUUACAAGUUGGAUGUGAAAUAUUGUGGCUCAACCACAAACGUGCAUCCAAAACUGCAAAGCUUGAGUUAAGGAGAGGUAAGUGGAAUUCCUGGUGUAGCGGUGGAAUGCGUAGAUAUCAGGAGGAAUACCGGUGGCGAAAGCGACUUACUGGACUUAAACUGACGCUCAGGCACGAAAGCGUGGGGAGCAAACAGG
rnacentral:rRNA from 1 species